GACGAACCGUGCGAACGUUGUUCGGAAUCACUGGGCUUAAAGGGCGCGUAGGCGGGCUCGUCAGUCUGUGGUGAAAGCCCCCAGCUCAACUGGGGAAGUGCCGCGGAUACUGCGAGUCUCGAGGGGGGUAGGGGCAUGUGGAACUUCCGGUGGAGCGGUGAAAUGCGUAGAUAUCGGAAGGAACGCCGGUGGCGAAAGCGACGUGCUGGACCCUCUCUGACGCUGAGGCGCGAAAGCCAGGGGAGCAAACGGG
rnacentral:rRNA from 1 species